GGAGCCUGCGGCUUAAUUUGACUCAACACGGGAAACCUCACCCGGCCCGGACACGGACAGGAUUGACAGAUUGAUAGCUCUUUCUCGAUUCCGUGGGUGGUGGUGCAUGGCCGUUCUUAGUUGGUGGAGCGAUUUGUCUGGUUAAUUCCGAUAACGAACGAGACUCUGGCAUGCUAACUAGAAACGCGACCCCCGAGCGGUCGGCGUCCCCCAACUUCUUAGAGGGACAAGUGGCGUUCAGCCACCCGAGAUAAGGAAUAACAGGUCUGUGAUGCCCUUAGAUGUCCGGGUCUACAGGCGCGCUAC
rnacentral:ncRNA from 1 species